GUCAUUGUGUGUGUCUGUGCAUGUCACGGUCUGUGUGUGUCAUGUAAUGUGUGUCUGUCUGUCACGGUGUGUGUGUGUCUGUGUCACGGUCUCUCUGUGUCGUGGUCUGUGUGUCACAGUCUGUCUGUGUCAUGGUGUGUGUGUCUGUCUGUGUCACGGUCUGUGUGUGUCAUGGUGUGUGUGUGUGUGUGUUUGUCUGUG